rnacentral:rRNA from 1 species
GACGAACGCUGGCGGCGUGGAUUAGGCAUGCAAGUCGAACGGUAUCAUCCUUUCGGGGGUGAGAGAGUGGCGAACUGGUGAGUAACACGUAGGUUAUCUACCCUCAAGACGGGGACAACCCAGGGAAACUUGGGCUAAUACCGGAUGUGAGCAACUUUUAGUUGUUUGAAAGGUGGCGUAAGCUGUCGCUUGGGGAUGAGCCUGCGUCCUAUUAGUUAGUUGGUGAGGUAACGGCUCACCUAGGCAACGAUAGGUAGGCGGCCUUAACGGGUGGUCGCCCACACUGGGAUUGAGAUACGGCCCAGACUCCUACGGGAGGCAGCAGUCGAGAAUAGUCUACAAUGGUCGGAAGACUGAUAGUGCGACGCCGCGUGAACGAUGAAUCCCUUCGGGGUGUAAAGUUCUUUUAUAUGUGAGCAGUGCUUCUUAUAUUAACAGUAUGGGGAGAGAGAUAUUAGCAUAUGAAUAAGCAACGGCUAACUCCGUGCCAGCAGCCGCGGUAAACUCGU